rnacentral:rRNA from 1 species
UACGGAGGGUGCAAGCGUUGUUCGGAUUUACUGGGCGUAAAGCGCGCGCAGGUGGGGUGACCAAGUCGGAAGUGAAAUCUCGAGGCUCAACCUCGAGGCUGCUCCCGAAACUGGUCGCCUAGGGACUGGUAGAGGCUGGUAGAAUUCCUGGUGUAGCGGGUGGAAUGCGCAGAUAUCAGGAGGAACACCAACGGCGAAGGCAGCUCGCUGGGCAUGACCUGACGCUGAGGAGCGAAAGUGUGGGGGAUCAAAACAGG